rnacentral:rRNA from 1 species
AGCGUACACGGUGGAUGCCCUGGCAGUCAGAGGCGAUGAAGGACGUGCUAAUCUGCGAUAAGCGUCGGUAAGGUGAUAUGAACCGUUAUAACCGGCGAUUUCCGAAUGGGGAAACCCAGUGUGAUUCGUCACACUAUCAUUAACUGAAUCCAUAGGUUAAUGAGGCGAACCGGGGGAACUGAAACAUCUAAGUACCCCGAGGAAAAGAAAUCAACCGAGAUUCCCCCAGUAGCGGCGAGCGAACGGGGAGCAGCCCAGAGCCUGAAUCAGUGUGUGUGUUAGUGGAAGCGUCUGGAAAGGCGCGCGAUACAGGGUGACAGCCCCGUACACAAAAAUGCACAUACUGUGAGCUCGAUGAGUAGGGCGGGACACGUGGUAUCCUGUCUGAAUAUGGGGGGACCAUCCUCCAAGGCUAAAUACUCCUGACUGACCGAUAGUGAACCAGUACCGUGAGGGAAAGGCGAAAAGAACCCCGGCGAGGGGAGUGAAAAAGAACCUGAAACCGUGUACGUACAAGCAGUGGGAGCACGCUUAGGCGUGUGACUGCGUACCUUUUGUAUAAUGGGUCAGCGACUUAUAUUCUGUAGCAAGGUUAACCGAAUAGGGGAGCCGAAGGGAAACCGAGUCUUAACUGGGCGUUAAGUUGCAGGGUAUAGACCCGAAACCCGGUGAUCUAGCCAUGGGCAGGUUGAAGGUUGGGUAACACUAACUGGAGGACCGAACCGACUAAUGUUGAAAAAUUAGCGGAUGACUUGUGGCUGGGGGUGAAAGGCCAAUCAAACCGGGAGAUAGCUGGUUCUCCCCGAAAGCUAUUUAGGUAGCGCCUCGUGAAUUCAUCUCCGGGGGUAGAGCACUGUUUCGGCAAGGGGGUCAUCCCGACUUACCAACCCGAUGCAAACUACGAAUACCGGAGAAUGUUAUCACGGGAGACACACGGCGGGUGCUAACGUCCGUCGUGAAGAGGGAAACAACCCAGACCGCCAGCUAAGGUCCCAAAGUCAUGGUUAAGUGGGAAACGAUGUGGGAAGGCCCAGACAGCCAGGAUGUUGGCUUAGAAGCAGCCAUCAUUUAAAGAAAGCGUAAUAGCUCACUGGUCGAGUCGGCCUGCGCGGAAGAUGUAACGGGGCUAAACCAUGCACCGAAGCUGCGGCAGCGACGCUGAUGCGUUGUUGGGUAGGGGAGCGUUCUGUAAGCCUGCGAAGGUGUGCUGUGAGGCAUGCUGGAGGUAUCAGAAGUGCGAAUGCUGACAUAAGUAACGAUAAAGCGGGUGAAAAGCCCGCUCGCCGGAAGACCAAGGGUUCCUGUCCAACGUUAAUCGGGGCAGGGUGAGUCGACCCCUAAGGCGAGGCCGAAAGGCGUAGUCGAUGGGAAACAGGUUAAUAUUCCUGUACUUGGUGUUACUGCGAAGGGGGGACGGAGAAGGCUAUGUUGGCCGGGCGACGGUUGUCCCGGUUUAAGCGUGUAGGCUGGUUUUCCAGGCAAAUCCGGAAAAUCAAGGCUGAGGCGUGAUGACGAGGCACUACGGUGCUGAAGCAACAAAUGCCCUGCUUCCAGGAAAAGCCUCUAAGCAUCAGGUAACAUCAAAUCGUACCCCAAACCGACACAGGUGGUCAGGUAGAGAAUACCAAGGCGCUUGAGAGAACUCGGGUGAAGGAACUAGGCAAAAUGGUGCCGUAACUUCGGGAGAAGGCACGCUGAUAUGUAGGUGAAGUCCCUCGCGGAUGGAGCUGAAAUCAGUCGAAGAUACCAGCUGGCUGCAACUGUUUAUUAAAAACACAGCACUGUGCAAACACGAAAGUGGACGUAUACGGUGUGACGCCUGCCCGGUGCCGGAAGGUUAAUUGAUGGGGUCAGCGCAAGCGAAGCUCUUGAUCGAAGCCCCGGUAAACGGCGGCCGUAACUAUAACGGUCCUAAGGUAGCGAAAUUCCUUGUCGGGUAAGUUCCGACCUGCACGAAUGGCGUAAUGAUGGCCAGGCUGUCUCCACCCGAGACUCAGUGAAAUUGAACUCGCUGUGAAGAUGCAGUGUACCCGCGGCAAGACGGAAAGACCCCGUGAACCUUUACUAUAGCUUGACACUGAACAUUGAGCCUUGAUGUGUAGGAUAGGUGGGAGGCUUUGAAGUGUGGACGCCAGUCUGCAUGGAGCCGACCUUGAAAUACCACCCUUUAAUGUUUGAUGUUCUAACGUGGACCCGUAAUCCGGGUUGCGGACAGUGUCUGGUGGGUAGUUUGACUGGGGCGGUCUCCUCCUAAAGAGUAACGGAGGAGCACGAAGGUUGGCUAAUCCUGGUCGGACAUCAGGAGGUUAGUGCAAUGGCAUAAGCCAGCUUGACUGCGAGCGUGACGGCGCGAGCAGGUGCGAAAGCAGGUCAUAGUGAUCCGGUGGUUCUGAAUGGAAGGGCCAUCGCUCAACGGAUAAAAGGUACUCCGGGGAUAACAGGCUGAUACCGCCCAAGAGUUCAUAUCGACGGCGGUGUUUGGCACCUCGAUGUCGGCUCAUCACAUCCUGGGGCUGAAGUAGGUCCCAAGGGUAUGGCUGUUCGCCAUUUAAAGUGGUACGCGAGCUGGGUUUAGAACGUCGUGAGACAGUUCGGUCCCUAUCUGCCGUGGGCGCUGGAGAAUUGAGGGGGGCUGCUCCUAGUACGAGAGGACCGGAGUGGACGCAUCACUGGUGUUCGGGUUGUCAUGCCAAUGGCACUGCCCGGUAGCUAAAUGCGGAAGAGAUAAGUGCUGAAAGCAUCUAAGCACGAAACUUGCCCCGAGAUGAGUUCUCCCUGACUCCUUGA